AAUCCAUAAUCUUCUCAUCCGACGUCUUUCACAAGCAGAACAUCGAGAUUUGAUGAUUCCGUCUAACACCCAAGCAUCUAAUAUCUAUACACCCAAACCAAACGAACCCUAAGAAAAUUCUAUCGGGUUUUCUUUCAUCUCUUCCUUCUCCUUCUUCUCCAUGUCUGCAAACCCAUGUCCGCACCAACAGCUCCGCCACCAACUCUCUGCCACCACCACAACCACCACCAUCUCUUCUAAAACACCACCAACCCUAAUCCCAUCAUUUUCCCUUCUCUUUAGCCACCUAUUUUCCCAAUUUCUACACGUUUUCUCUCUAAAACCCUAGCGUGUAAAAUUGGUAAACUAGGUCGAAAUUGAGAGCAAUUGAAGGAAUGGGUAGCAUCAGGAGAAGAAAUAGAAGAUUGGGUCGAUGCACUUGAGAGUUUUCAGAGAUUAGAUAUUGAGAAGAUUAGUCAAAAGAAGAGAAGUAGGAAGAAUUAGAUUUUGGGGGGUUCUCAAGCACAACAGUUUCAUGGUGAGCCAUCUAAAUGACAUUGGUAAGAGAUUAGACAGUGAACCAGUGAUGCUUCCAAGCUGUGUUACAAGCGUUGUGGAAUACCUUGUCCAAUGGGAGGAAUUAUUAUCUACGCUGCACAUGAGGAUAAGAAUCAGAUUUACCUGUCAUCCGUGAAGCAUCCAACGCAAUUACAUUAGGAAGCUGAAUUCGGAUUGAUGGGGGGAAAUGUUGAGAAACUUGGGGUUUCAAACAUCCAAAUUUUUAUUAAAAUGGUGCUGGCAUUUAUGUUAGCAUCUCUCUUUCCUUGGGAUUGCAUCAAACUUGGAUUUGAUCUUGUAUUGGGUACCUCCAAUGUAGACGAUGGAUUCUUCGGUCACUUAACAAAGUAUAGUUGCAGCUUUGGAGAUAUAAAUCACAAUUAAUGGAAGCAUUGAUAAGCAGGAUAUUCGAGCAUUUCUGAAUUGGGAUGAAGUCCAUCUCGAUUUUCCAUUGUCAAGAUGCCCCUCUAACUCAUCCAACUGAUAAGUUGGAGCCUGUGUGAUUCAAUUAUAGUCAGGUACUGGUUCAUUAAGGCUUGGGUAGAAUUAUUGACAACUGCAGUGUCUAUCAGAAGCACAAGAUAGAUAAAUUUAUGGAUAGAUAAAUUUAUAGAUAUAGAGCUGCAUCGAAAUGUUAAUUGUAGAGCUUGUCAAAGGUAACCACUUGGUUCUAGAUAUUGAACUGGAACAACCUAAACUCUACAUGGGUGAAGCAAAGUUGGAAUGGCAGAAGUAAUUAAACCGGGAAAAGUCAUAUAUGAACAAUUAAAAUCAGGGCACAUCACAUAUGUAACUUAACAACUAAUAAUAUUAGCUGGAGGAAAGAUGUAUAUAAAUACAUGCAGUAUUGGCCACAAACUACAGGAAAGUUAUUGCACAACCAUAACUACGAUAGGAGAAGAUUGCAACAAAAAAGAAGCUUCAGGGAAAUCGAAGGCAGUUACAGGGGAAGAAGAAGAUACUGACACAAGCUAAACUAGUAAUCAUAUGUGCGCAGGGGAGCUAUAAGUGGAAGAAGAAUAAGAUUAUAAGUGAGCUCAUUUAUUAGUAUCGAACUUUAUAUGUCACAUAUCAAAAAUAACUUUGUAUGCUUUCGCUCACAAGAAGCAUACUAGAUUAAGGUCUUAGUAAUUCAAACUCAUAUGGGGGUAUAAGUAACGUGAAGGAAUGAUUAUCUUUCAAGUAAACCA